AGUCGAGGGGCAGCAUUUUAGUUUGCUUGCAACUGAAGAUGGCGACCGGCGCACGGGUGAGUAACACGUAUCCAACCUGCCGAUAACUCCGGAAUAGCCUUUCGAAAGAAAGAUUAAUACCGGAUGGCAUACGAAUAUCGCAUGAUAUUUUUAUUAAAGAAUUUCGGUUAUCGAUGGGGAUGCGUUCCAUUAGUUUGUUGGCGGGGUAACGGCCCACCAAGACUACGAUGGAUAGGGGUUCUGAGAGGAAGGUCCCCCACAUUGGAACUGAGACACGGUCCAAACUCCUACGGGAGGCAGCAGUGAGGAAUAUUGGUCAAUGGGCGCGAGCCUGAACCAGCCAAGUAGCGUGAAGGAUGAAGGCUCUAUGGGUCGUAAACUUCUUUUAUAUGGGAAUAAAGUUUUCCACGUGUGGAAUUUUGUAUGUACCAUAUGAAUAAGGAUCGGCUAACUCCGUGCCAGCAGCCGCGGUAAUACGGAGGAUCCGAGCGUUAUCCGGAUUUAUUGGGUUUAAAGGGAGCGUAGGUGGAUUGUUAAGUCAGUUGUGAAAGUUUGCGGCUCAACCGUAAAAUUGCAGUUGAAACUGGCAGUCUUGAGUACAGUAGAGGUGGGCAGAAUUCGUGGUGUAGCGGUGAAAUGCUUAGAUAUCACGAAGAACUCCGAUUGCGAAGGCAGCUCACUAGACUGUUACUGACACUGAUGCUCGAAAGUGUGGGUAUCAAACAGGAUUAGAUACCCUGGUAGUCCACACAGUAAACGAUGAAUACUCGCUGUUUGCGAUAUACAGUAAGCGGCCAAGCGAAAGCAUUAAGUAUUCCACCUGGGGAGUA
rnacentral:rRNA from 1 species